rnacentral:rRNA from 1 species
AGGAAUAUUGGUCAAUGGACGCAAGUCUGAACCAGCCAUGCCGCGUGAAGGAUGAAGGUCCUCUGGAUUGUAAACUUCUUUUAUCUGGGACGAAAACGGGAUUUUUAUCUCAAUUGACGGUACCAGAGGAAUAAGCACCGGCUAACUCCGUGCCAGCAGCCGCGGUACUACGGAGGGUGCGAGCGUUAUCCGGAUUUACUGGGUUUAAAGGGUGCGUAGGUGGGCUUAUAAGUCAGUGGUGAAAUCUCCGAGCUUAACUUGGAAACUGCCGUUGAUACUAUAGGUCUUGAAUUAUCUGGAGGUAAGCGGAAUAUGUCAUGUAGCGGUGAAAUGCUUAGAUAUGACGUAGAACACCAAUUGCGAAGGCAGCUUACUACAUAUAAAUUGACGCUGAGGCACGAAAGCGUGGGGAUCAAACA